UAUUGGUCAAUGGGCGCAAGCCUGAACCAGCCAUGCCGCGUGCAGGAAGACGGCCCUACGGGUUGUAAACUGCUUUUAUACCGGAAUAAUUCUCCCGACGUGUCGGGAGUUGAAUGUACGGUAAGAAUAAGGAUCGGCUAACUCCGUGCCAGCAGCCGCGGUAAUACGGAGGAUCCAAGCGUUAUCCGGAUUUAUUGGGUUUAAAGGGUGCGUAGGCGGCUUUUUAAGUCAGGGGUAAAGACGGUGGCUCAACCAUCGCAGUGCCUUUAUACUAAGAGCUUAUACACAGAGGAGGCGGAAUGUACAAGAGCGGUAAAUGCAAGUUGUCACAGACACCAUUGCGAGGAGCUUCAUGGUUAAUGCGUGGACAAAUCAUACUG
rnacentral:rRNA from 1 species